rnacentral:lncRNA from 1 species
GUUGGAGGCGGCAUGUGACUCCCAGGGCUACGUGGGUUCAAAAACAAUUUAAUACAAAAACACAAGCAGGUUCCCCUCCUCUCCUUUGCCUUUGGUCUGGCUCUCCCCAUCGCUGGGUUCAGUGCCUGACUGAAUGGAAAACCCGUCGUCUUGCAGCCACUAACCUGUGAGCGCCGGGUACCUGGAGACCAGGCCCCUCUGCUGGGGGCCCCCAGGAGCGGUGCCCCAUCAUUUUGCAGCCCACUGACUCCCAGCCUGGUGUGAAAACUGAGGCCCGGAGAGGUGAUGUGAUUUGCCUAAAGUCAUGCAACUAGUGGCAGAGCCAGGCCUAGACGCCAGGUGUCCUGGCUCUCAAGACAUUCCGCUGCCCGAGGAAUGGAACAGGUAGUAUCACUCACACUGGGGGCCAUGGGUCAGUCCAUUCAGCCCAGAGCUGCCUGAGGUUCCAACUAAGGAAACCAGAGGAAACAUCCACUCAAAAUUCUGACAAGUUGAACGGGGUUGAAAUCAGAACUGGGCAAGAGAAAGGGGGCAAGGUUUGAAACUCAGACCUCACGAUCCUGGGACAGAGGCCAAUGUACCAUCACCCCACGUCACCUUCUGAAGGUGGAUUGAGCUCUGGCCCUAUCAUGUCCAUCUCUAAACAGCUUGGUGGUGAGUCCUCUUCCAGCCAUUCUGCGACCCAUGCUCUUUCUGAUAUGAUUCACAGUGUUAGGAAAAUCAAUGGCCACUUGCAGAGGAUGUGUGGGAGGAUGGAGAAGAAGGGACACGGGGAGACCAGUUAGGAGGCCUUUGGAGAGAUCCAGGAGGAAAAUGAAGAGGAAGAGCUGGUAGGAGGGGUCUGCUGGAUCCGUAUGGCAUCACCUGGGUUAGUGGUUGGUAAAGUUGGUCAGCAGUGAUGGUGGAAAAGCUAGAGUAGAAAUGAAAUCUGCAUCAAAGUGGGAAGGAAAAGAGUUUCUGCUUUUAUAUAUGUCUACUUGCUAUUUCUACUGAAGGAUGUUCUUAAGCCCAGUAUUGAUAAAACAAAAUCUACCUUUGGUACUACAAGUAAGAUAUACC